UGGGGAAUUUUGGACAAUGGGCGAAAGCCUGAUCCAGCAAUGCCGCGUGUGUGAAGAAGGCCUUCGGGUUGUAAAGCACUUUUGUCCGGAAAGAAAUCCUUGGCUCUAAUACAGUCGGGGGAUGACGGUACCGGAAGAAUAAGCACCGGCUAACUACGUGCCAGCAGCCGCGGUAAUACGUAGGGUGCAAGCGUUAAUCGGAAUUACUGGGCGUAAAGCGUGCGCAGGCGGUUUGCUAAGACCGAUGUGAAAUCCCCGGGCUCAACCUGGGAACUGCAUUGGUGACUGGCAGGCUAGAGUAUGGCAGAGGGGGGUAGAAUUCCCCGUGUAGCAGUGAAAUGCGUAGAGAUGUGGAGGAAUACCGAUGGCGAAGGCAGCCCCCUGGGCCAAUACUGACGCUCAUGCACGAAAGCGUGGGGAGCAAACAGGAUUAGAUACCCUGGUAGUCCACGCCCUAAACGAUGUCAACUAGUUGUUGGGGACUCAUUUCCUUAGUAACGUAGCUAACGCGUGAAGUUGACCGCCUGGGGAGUACGGUCGCAAGAUUAAAACUUAAAUGAAUUGACGGGGUCAUAGCUGUUUCCUG
rnacentral:rRNA from 1 species